rnacentral:lncRNA from 1 species
AUUUAGGGUUUAGGGUUUAGAGUUUAGGGUUUAGGGUUUAGAGUUUAGAGUUUAGGGUUUAGGGUUUAGAGUUGAGGGUUUAGGGUUUAGGGUUUAGAGUUUAGGGUUUAGGGUUUAGAGUUUAGGGUUUAGGGUUUAGAGUUGAGGGAUGAGGUUUUGGGGAUAAGAUUUCAAAUUUUGAAAAAUAAAAAAAUUAAAAUUUUCAAAGGAUAAACUUAGAAAGGUGCUAUUUUGGUCAUUUUAGUUUUUGAAUGCUAUUUUUGUGAUAUAAACUUAGAAAUGUGCUAUUUUGGAGAUUUGCCCAAAUAUAUAAACUAAAACAAAAUAAACUUUAAUUAAUAAUCCCUCUCCUCUUUUCUUAUUGGUUGAAACAAAGCAUCACACGGAUCACGUUUAUAACCAUCCGAUGCGUCAUCUCCUUCCCUUACACGUGUCUUCAUCUCAUCUCAUCUCCUCUUCUUUAUCUCUUUUUUCUUCUUUCUUUGUCUCACGAGAAUCCACAAUCUCUUUCAAUCUCAUCAUCUCUGAUCUCUUCUUCUGUAUUCAUCAUUCUUCUUCGCUGACAAACCGACGACCUUACGAAGAAGCUCAUGAAGCCCACGACAGCGACGACGACCGCCUACUCUCCGCCUCGACUCCGUGACCCCUCUAUUCCUCUCCUCUGCUCCGUCACGUCUCUCUUAUCUGCUCCAUGACACGUCCUCUCCUCCUCUGCUCGAUCACGCCCCCUCUCCUCGUCUGCUCCGUAAUGGCUCCUCUCGUCCGCGAAGUUCCUUGCUCGCGUGGCGGCUGGAGAAACAAAUGAAGUUUAUGUUAGGUUUAGCUCCCGUAUGCUAACAACAGCGGCUUAGAUUUAAGUUUUGAUUUAUUUUCUUGACCAAAUAGUUUGUCUUUGAUUUAGUUUUUCUUUUUGUAUUUAUGUAAUUAUGUAUAGCCGUCUGUCUUUUAAUUUAAACCAGUUUAUUAUAUAAAAAUCAUUUUAAAUUUUAA